AUCUGCCUGGUAGUGGGGGACAACGUUUCGAAAGGAACGCUAAUACCGCAUACGUCCUACGGGAGAAAGCAGGGGACCUUCGGGCCUUGCGCUAUCAGAUGAGCCUAGGUCGGAUUAGCUAGUUGGUGAGGUAAUGGCUCACCAAGGCGACGAUCCGUAACUGGUCUGAGAGGAUGAUCAGUCACACUGGAACUGAGACACGGUCCAGACUCCUACGGGAGGCAGCAGUGGGGAAUAUUGGACAAUGGGCGAAAGCCUGAUCCAGCCAUGCCGCGUGUGUGAAGAAGGUCUUCGGAUUGUAAAGCACUUUAAGUUGGGAGGAAGGGUUGUAGAUUAAUACUCUGCAAUUUUGACGUUACCGACAGAAUAAGCACCGGCUAACUCUGUGCCAGCAGCCGCGGUAAUACAGAGGGUGCAAGCGUUAAUCGGAAUUACUGGGCGUAAAGCGCGCGUAGGUGGUUUGUUAAGUUGGAUGUGAAAUCCCCGGGCUCAACCUGGGAACUGCAUCCAAAACUGGCAAGCUAGAGUAUGGUAGAGGGUGGUGGAAUUUCCUGUGUAGCGGUGAAAUGCGUAGAUAUAGGAAGGAACACCAGUGGCGAAGGCGACCACCUGGACUGAUACUGACACUGAGGUGCGAAAGCGUG
rnacentral:rRNA from 1 species